CCUCAGGACGGCUCCUGUCUCAUCAGGGAACCCUCCUGGCCCAUGUCCACCCAUCAGCUGCUGGCUCCCCCCUGCUAGGAGGAUUUUUUUAAUGGGGUGAAAAUGCCAGUCCCCGAAGCUAGGGUUCCCGGACCCCCAGGGCUGCCCUGGGCGCGGGAGCCCCAUAGGGGCGGGGAGGCCAGCCGAGCUUGAAGAAGUGGAGGAGAGAUCUACACAACUUAAGUCGGGCAUCCCCAUCCCGUCAGUCUGCUUAUCCUCCUUUGCCCCCAGCUCCAUCUCUGCGACACCCUCCCCCCCC